rnacentral:tRNA from 3 species
GGGGCUAUGGCGCAGCUGGUAGCGCAUCUGCAUGGCAUGCAGGGGGUCACGGGUUCGAAUCCCGUUAGCUCCACAA